rnacentral:rRNA from 1 species
CCUACGGGUGGCAGCAGUGAGGAAUAUUGGUCAAUGGGCGAGAGCCUGAACCAGCCAAGUCGCGUGAAGGAUGAAGGAUCUAUGGUUUGUAAACUUCUGUUAUAUGGGAAUAAAGUGAGGAACGUGUUCCUUUUUGUAUGUACCAUAUGAAUAAGCUUCGGCUAACUCCGUGCCAGCAGCCGCGGUAAUACGGAGGAUGCGAGCGUUAUCCGGAUUUAUUGGGCUGAAGGGGUGCGUAGGUGGUUAAUUAAGUCAGCGGUGAAAGUUUGUGGCUCAACCAUAAGAUUGCCGAUGAAACUGGUUGACUUGAGUAUAUUUGAGGUAGGCGGAAUGCGUGGUGUAGCAGUGAAAUGCAUAGAUAUCACGCAGAACUCUGAUUGCGAAGGCAGCUUACUAAACUGCCACUGACAUUGAUGCUCGAAGGUGUGGGUAUCAAACAGGAUUAGAUACCCGUGUAGUC